rnacentral:rRNA from 1 species
UAGAGCCGGGCGACUCUGGCGGGACUGCAUCGACAAGAAUGGAGGAAGGUGGGGAGUGACGUCAAGUCAUCAUGGCCCUUAUGUCCAGGGCGACACACGUGCUACAAUGGCCGGCACAGCGGGAAGCGAGGCAGUGAUGCCAAGCGGAUCCCUUAAAGCCGGUCUCAGUUCGGAUUGAAGUCUGCAACUCGACUUCAUGAAGCUGGAAUCGCUAGUAAUCGCAGAUCAGCCAAGCUGCGGUGAAUACGUUCCCGGGCCUU